CCCAUUUCCCCCAUUUCCCCCAUUGCCCCCAUUGCCCCCCAUUGCCCCCCAUUUCCCCCCCAUUGCCCCCCCAUGACCCCCACUGACCCCCGUUGCCCCCCCAGGACGUAUUCAUCCUUCUGACCCCCGGCGGUGGCGGUUUUGGGACCCCCGAGGAGGAUGGGGGCGAAGGGGGGGCGCACAGCCCCAAACCCACCGGGGCCCGCGAGUACUGGGAGGGCACUGAGGCACACUGAGCUGCUAUGGGGCUGCUAUGGGGCAGCUGUGGGGCAGCUGUGGGGCUGCUAUGGGGCACCUAUGGGGUACCUAUGGGGCUGCUAUGGGGCAGCUGGGGGGCUAUGGGGCACCUAUGGGGCUGCUGUGGGGCAGCUGGGGGGCACUGAGGCACACUGAGCUGCUAUGGGGGCUAUGGGGGGCUAUGGGGCAGCUGGGGGGCACCUAUUGGGCUGCUAUGGGGCAGCUGUGGGGCAGCUGUGGGGCACCUAUGGGGCUGCUGGGGGGCUAUGGGGCAGCUGUGGGGCUGCUAUGGGGCACCUAUGGGGCUCCUGGGGGGCUAUGGGGCAGCUGUAGGGCUGCUAUGGGGCAGCUGGGGGGCUAUGGGGCAGCUGGGGGACACCUAUGGGGCUGCUAUGGGGCAGAGCUGUGGUGAUGCUAUGGGGCACCUAUGGGGCUGCUAUGGGGCUGCUGGGGGGCACCUAUGGGGCAGCUGGGGGGCUGCUAUGGGGCACCUGCGGGGCUGCUAUGGGGCAGCUGGGGGGCUAUGGGGCAGCUGGGGGGCACUGAGGCACACUGAGCUGCUAUGGGGCAGCUGUGGGGCUGCUAUGGGGCUGCUGAGCUGUGGUGAUGCUGUGGGGCAGCUAUGGGGCAGCUGUGGGGAACCUAUGGGGCUGCUAUGGGGCAGAGCUGAGGUGAUGCUAUGGGGCAGCAGUGGGGCUGCUAUGGGGCACCUAUGGGGCUGCUAUGGGGCAGCUGGGGGGCACCUAUGGGGCAGCCGUGGGGCUGCUAUGGGGCACCUAUGGGGCUGCUAUGGGGCAGCUGGGGGACGCCUAUGAGGCUGCUAUGGGGCAGCUGUGGGGCUGCUAUGGGGCACCUAUGGGGCUGCUAUGGGGCAGCUGGGGGGCUAUGGGGCAGCUGGGGGGCACCUAUGGGGCAGCUAUGGGGCAGCUAUGGGGCAGAGCUAUGGGGCACCUAUGGGGCUGUUAUGGGGCAGGGAUAAGGGGAAGCUAUGGGGCUGCUAUGGGGCUGGGCUAUGGGGCUGCUAUGGGGCAGCUGGGGGGCAGGGCUAUGGGGCAGAUGUGGGGCUGCUGUGGGGCAGUUAUGGGGCAGGGUUAUGGGGCUGCUAUGGGGCUGGGCUAUGGGGCAGCUAUAGGGUUGCUAUAGGGAAGGGUAAUGGGGCAGCUGUGGGGCUGCUAUGGGGCAGCUGUGGGGUUGCUAUGGGGCUGAGCUAUUGGGUUGCUAUGGGGCAAAGUUAUGAAGAAGUUAUGGGACAGUUAUGGGGCUGGGCUAUGGGGCAGAGCUAUGGGGCAGCGCUGUGGGGCAGGGCUAUAGGGAAGCUAUGGGGUAGUGCUAUGGGGCUGGGCUAUGGGGCAGGGCUGUGGGGCAGGGAUGUGGGGAAGGGAUGUGGGGCAGGGUUAUGGGGCAGAGCUGUGGGGUAGGGCUAUGGGGCAGCGCUUUGGGGCAGUGCUAUGGGGCAGGGCUGUGGGGCAGCGCUAUGGAGCGGGGCUAUGGGGAAGUGCUGUGGGGCAGCUCUAUGGGGCUGGGCUAUGGGGCAGCACUAUGGGACAGUGCUAUGGGGCAGCACUGUGGGGCAGCGCUAUGGGGCAGGGCUAUGGGGCAGAGCUGUGGGGCAGCACUAUGGGACAGUGCUAUGGGGCAGCGCUGUGGGGCAGCACUGUGGGGUAGGGCUAUGGGGAAGAGCUGUGGGGUAGGGCUAUAGGGUAGGGCUAUGGGGCAGCCAUGGGGGGCAGUGCUAUGGGGCAGCACUAUGGGGCAGAGAUCUGGGGCAGCACUAUGGGGCAGAGCUAUAGGGCAGCUCUAUGGGGCAGCACUAUGGAGUGAGGUGGGCACUAUGGGGCAGCCCCACAUACACACUUAUGGGGCAGCCCCACAGCCCCCGCUAUGCAAUCUAUGGGGUAGCCUUCGAUCCACAUACGCACACUUAUGGGGCAGCUCCUGACCCACAUAUGCUAUGGGGCAGCCCCACAGCCCCCACUAUGCAAUCUAUGGGGCGGCCCCUGACCCACAUACGCACACUUAUGGGGCAGCCCCACAACUGCAGCUAUGCAAUCUAUGGGGCAGCUCCUGCCCCACAUACGCACACUUACGGGGCAGCCCCACAACUGCUGCUAUGCAAUCUAUGGGGCAGCCCCACAGCUCGAGGCACUCACUUAUGGGGCAGCCCCAGACCCACAUACGCACACUUAUGGGACAGCUCCUGACCCACAAAUGCUAUGGGGCAGCCCCACAGCCCCCGCUAUGCAAUCUAUGGGGCAGCCCCAGACCCACAUACGCACACUUACAGGGCAGCCCCUGACCCACAUAUGCUAUGGGGCAGCCCCACAACCCCCACUAUGCAAUCUAUGGGGCAGCCCCUGACCCACAUACGCACACUUAUGGGGCAGCCCCACAGCCCCCGCUAUGCAAUCUAUGGGGCAGCCCCUGACCCACAUAUUCACACUUAUGGGGCGGCCCCACAACCGCCCCUAUGCAGUCUAUGGGGCAGCCCCAGACCCACAUACGCACGCUUACGGGGCAGCCCCACAACUGCUGCUAUGCAAUCUAUGGGGCAGCCCCACAGCUCGAGGUACCCACUUAUGGGGCAGCCCCAGACCCACAUACGCACACUUAUGGGGCAGCCCCACAACUGCAGCUAUGCAAUCUAUGGGGCAGCUCCGGACCCACAUAUGCACACUUAUGGGGCAGCCCCCAAAUCUAUGGGGCAGCCCCGUUUGCACCCCCUGUUGUGCCCCACAACUUCAGCCCCCAAACCUCUGCUCAGCCCCACAGCAGCACCGCCCCUCCGCGCCCCACAGUGCCCCAUAGCGUCAUCCCACCCUGCCCCACUUCUCAGCCUCCCCUGCCCCAUAGCCCCAUCCCCCCUCUGCCCCAUAGCAUCACCACUCUGCUCCACAGCUUCACCCCCCUCUGCCCCAUAGCAACGCCCCACUCUGCCCCACAGUGCCCCCUCUGUGCCCCACAUCAUUGCCAUCCCACCCCAUAGCAUCGCCCCCCUCUGCCCCAUAGAUUCCCCCUCCCGUGCCCCAUAGCAUCACCCUCUCUGCCCCAUAGCAUUCUCCUUCUCUGCCCCAUAGCAUCAGCCUCUCUGCCCCAUAGCAUCACCCCCCCCUCUGCCCCAUAGCAACGCCGCACUCUGCCCCACAGCGCCCCCUCUGUGCCCCACAUCAUUGCCAUCCCACCCCGUAGCAUCAUCCUCUUCUGCCCCAUAGAUUCGCCCCCCCCUGCCCCAUAGAUCCCCCCCCCAUACCAUCACCCCUCUGCUCCAUAGCAUCUCCCUCUCCGCCCCAUAACAUCGCCCCCCUCUGCCCCACAGCAUCACCCUCUCCGCCCCAUAGCAUCGCCCCCCUCUGCCCCACACCAUCACCCCCCUCUGCCCCAUAGCAACGCCCCCCUCUGCCCCACAGCGCCCCCUCUAUGCCCCACAUCAUUGCCAUCCCACCCCAUAGCAUCGCCCCCCUCUGCCCCAUAGAUUCCCCCCCCCGUGCCCCAUAGCAUCACCCCCUCUGCCCCAUAGCAUCCUCCCUCUGUGCCCCAUAGCAUCGUCCCUCUCUGCCCCAUAGCAUCACCCCCCUCUGCCCCAUAGCAACAUCCCCCUCUGCCCCAUAGCAUCACCACCAGCCCCAUAGCAUCGCCCCCUCUGCCCCAUACCAUCACCUCUCUGGCCCACAGCAUCGUCCCUCUCUGCCCCAUAGAAUUGCCCCUUCUCCCCCAUAGCAUCGCCCCCUCUGCCCCACAGUGCCCCCUCUGUGCCCCACAUCAUUGCCAUCCCACCCCAUAGCAUCGCCCCCCUCUGCCCCAUAGAUUCCCCCUCCCGUGCCCCAUAGCAUCACCCUCUCUGCCCCAUAGCAUUCUCCCUCUCUGCCCCAUAGCAUCAGCCUCUCUGCCCCAUAGCAUCACCCCCCUCUGCCCCAUAGCAACGCCCCCCUCUGCCCCUCAGCGCCCCCUCUAUGCCGCACAUCAUUGCCAUCCCACCCCAUAGCAUCACCUCUCCUGCCCCAUAGCAUUGCCCCUCUGCCCCAUAGCAUCACCCCUCUGCCCCAUAGCAUCACUCCCCUCUGCCCCAUAGCAACAUCCCCCUCUGCCCCAUAGCAUCACCACCAGCCCCAUAGCAUCGCCCCCUCUGCCCCAUACCAUCACCUCUCUGGCCCACAGCAUCGUCCCUCUCUGCCUCAUAGAAUUGCCCCUUCUCCCCCAUAGCAUCGCCCCCUCUGCCCCACAGCGCCCCCCUCUGUGCCCCACAUCAUUGCCAUCCCACCCCAUAGCAUCACCCCUUCUGCCCCAUAGCAUUGCCCCCUCUGCCCCAUAGCAUCACCGCCCUCUACCCCAUAGCAUCUCCCUCUCUGCCCCAUAGCAUCGCCCUCCUCUACCCCAUAGCAUUCUCUCUGCCCCACAGCAUCAUCCCCCUCUGCCCCAUAGAUUCCCCCCCUGCCCCAUAGCAUUGCCCUCUCUGCCCCACAGCAUCGCCCUCGUCUGCCCCAUAGCAUUGACCCUCUGCCCCAUAGCAUCACCCCCCUCUGCCCCAUAGCAUCACCCCUCUGCCCCAUAGCAUUGCCCCCUCUGCCCCACAGCAUCGCCCCCCUCUGCCCCAUAGCAACGCCCCCCUCUGCCCCUCAGCGCCCCCUCUAUGCCCCGCAUCAUUGCCAUCCCACCCCAUAGCAUCACCUCUCCUGCCCCAUAGCAUCGUCCCUCUCUGCCCCAUAGCAUCACCCCUCUGACCCACAGCAUCAUCCCCCUCUGCCCCAUAGAAUUGCCCCUUCUCCCCCAUAGCAUCGCCCCCUCUGCCCCACAGUGCCCCCUCUGUGCCCCACAUCAUUGCCAUCCCACCCCAUAGCAUCGCCCCCCUCUGCCCCAUAGAUUCCCCCUCCCGUGCCCCAUAGCAUCACCCUCUCUGCCCCAUAGCAUUCUCCCUCUCUGCCCCAUAGCAUCAGCCUCUCUGCCCCAUAGCAUCACCCCCCUCUGCCCCAUAGCAACGCCCCCCCUCUGCCCCUCAGCGCCCCCUCUAUGCCGCACAUCGUUGCCAUCCCACCCCAUAGCAUCACCUCUCCUGCCCCAUAGCAUUGCCCCUCUGCCCCAUAGCAUCACCCCUCUGCCCCAUAGCAUCACCCCCCUCUGCCCCAUAGCAACAUCCCCCUCUGCCCCAUAGCAUCACGACCAGCCCCAUAGCAUCGCCCCCUCUGCCCCAUACCAUCACCUCUCUGACCCACAGCAUCGUCCCCCUCUGCCCCAUAGAAUUGCCCCUUCUCCCCCAUAGCAUCGCCCCCUCUGCCCCACAGUGCCCCCUCUGUGCCCCACAUCAUUGCCAUCCCACCCCAUAGCAUCGCCCCCCUCUGCCCCAUAGAUUCCCCCUCCCGUGCCCCAUAGCAUCACCCUCUCUGCCCCAUAGCAUUCUCCUUCUCUGCCCCAUAGCAUCAGCCUCUCUGCCCCAUAGCAUCACCCCCCCUCUGCCCCAUAGCAACGCCGCACUCUGCCCCACAGCGCCCCCUCUGUGCCCCACAUCAUUGCCAUCCCACCCCGUAGCAUCAUCCUCUUCUGCCCCAUAGAUUCGCCCCCCCCUGCCCCAUAGAUCCCCCCCCCAUACCAUCACCCCUCUGCUCCAUAGCAUCUCCCUCUCCGCCCCAUAACAUCGCCCCCCUCUGCCCCACAGCAUCACCCUCUCCGCCCCAUAGCAUCGCCCCCCUCUGCCCCACACCAUCACCCCCCUCUGCCCCAUAGCAACGCCCCCCUCUGCCCCACAGCGCCCCCUCUAUGCCCCACAUCAUUGCCAUCCCACCCCAUAGCAUCGCCCCCCUCUGCCCCAUAGAUUCCCCCCCCCGUGCCCCAUAGCAUCACCCCCUCUGCCCCAUAGCAUCCUCCCUCUGUGCCCCAUAGCAUCGUCCCUCUCUGCCCCAUAGCAUCACCCCCCUCUGCCCCAUAGCAACAUCCCCCUCUGCCCCAUAGCAUCACCACCAGCCCCAUAGCAUCGCCCCCUCUGCCCCAUACCAUCACCUCUCUGGCCCACAGCAUCAUCCCCCUCUGCCCCAUAGAAUUGCCCCUUCUCCCCCAUAGCAUCGCCCCCUCUGCCCCACAGUGCCCCCUCUGUGCCCCACAUCAUUGCCAUCCCACCCCAUAGCAUCACCCCCCUCUGCCCCAUAGAUUCCCCCUCCCGUGCCCCAUAGCAUCACCCUCUCUGCCCCAUAGCAUUCUCCCUCUCUGCCCCAUAACAUCAGCCUCUCUGCCCCAUAGCAUCACCCCCCUCUGCCCCAUAGCAACGCCCCCCUCUGCCCCUCAGCGCCCCCUCUAUGCCGCACAUCAUUGCCAUCCCACCCCAUAGCAUCACCUCUCCUGCCCCAUAGCAUUGCCCCUCUGCCCCAUAGCAUCACCCCUCUGCCCCAUAGCAUCACUCCCCUCUGCCCCAUAGCAACAUCCCCCUCUGCCCCAUAGCAUCACCACCAGCCCCAUAGCAUCGCCCCCUCUGCCCCAUACCAUCACCUCUCUGGCCCACAGCAUCGUCCCUCUCUGCCCCAUAGAAUUGCCCCUUCUCCCCCAUAGCAUCGCCCCCUCUACCCCACAGCGCCCCCUCUGUGCCCCACAUCAUUGCCAUCCCACUCCAUAGCAUCGCCCCCCUCUGCCCCAUAGAUUCCCCCCCCGUGCCCCAUAGCAUCACCCCCUUCUGCCCCAUAGAUUCACCCCCCCUCUGCCCCAUAGAUUCCCCCCCCCCUCCCCGUGCCCCACAGCGUUGUCUGCCCCCUCUCUCCCCCCCUCGUGGUGCCGUCCAAUAAACGCUGCUGUGCCCCAUAGCGUCGCUUAUGUUCUUUAUGGGGGGGGACAACGACGACACUGUGGGGACCCACAGAUCCUAUUGGGAUCCCACAGAGAUCCCACAGAGAACCCAUAUAUGCCAGAGGGAUCCCAUAGAGAUCCCAUAGAUCCCAAUGGAUCCCAUAGAGACCCCAUAGAGACGCCAUAGAACCCAACGGAUCUCGCAGAGAUCCCAUAUAGACCCCAUAGAUCCCAAUGAAUCCCAUAGAGACCCCAUAGAACCCAAUGGAUCCCAUAGAGAUCCCAUAGAGACCCCAUAGAUCCCACUGGAUCCCAUAGAGAUCCUAUAGAGACCCCAUAUAACCCAAUGGAUCCCAUAGAGACCUCAUAGAUCCCACUGGAUCCCAUAGAGAUCCCAUAGAGACCCCAUAGAUCCCAAUGGAUCCCACAGAGAUCCCAUAGAGACCUCAUAGAUCCCACUGGAUCCCAUAGAGAUCCCCCAGAGACCCCAUAGAUCCCACUGGAUCCCAUAGAGAUCCCACAGAUAUCCCACAGAGACCCGAUAGAUCCAAAUGGAUCCCAUAGAGACCCCACAGAGACCCCGUGGAUCCCACUGGAUCCCAUAGAAAUCCUAUAGAGACCCCAUAGAACCCAAUGGAUCCCAUAGAGACCCCAUAGAUCCAAAUGGAUCCCAUGCAGAUCCAAUAAAGACCCCAUAGAUCCCAAUGAAUCCUAUAGAGAUCCCAUAGAGACCCCAUAGAACCCAAUGGAUCCCACAGAGAUCCCAUAGAGACCCCAUAGAUCCCAAUGAAUCCCAUAGAGACCCCAUAGAGACGCCAUAGAACCCAGUGGAUCCCACAGAGAUCCCAUAGAG
rnacentral:lncRNA from 1 species